GCAUCUGCAGCUCAGCAUGGUUAAAGCGCUGCGCACUGGAAUCGCAGGACCGCAAGUUCGAUUCUUGUCAGAGGAU